rnacentral:tRNA from 1 species
GUCCAUGUAGCUCAGCAGGAAGAGCAACCGCCUUGUAAGCGGUAGGUCGAGCGUUCGAAACGUCUCCUUGGGCACCA